GCUAAUACCGAAUACGAUCUUUUCGUCGCAUGCGAAAAGAGGAAAAGGAUGGCCUCUAUACAAAGCUAUCGCCGAAGGAGGGGUUUUGCGUCUGAUUAGCUGGUUGGAGGGGUAACGGCCCAACAAGGCGAUGAUCAGUAGCCGGUCUGAGAGGAUGAACGGCCACAUUGGGACUGAGACACGGCCCAGACUCCUACGGGAGGCAGCAGUGGGGAAUCUUCCGCAAUGGACGAAAGUCUGACGGAGCAACGCCGCGUGAGUGAAGAAGGUCUUCGGAUUGUAAAGCUCUGUUAUACGGGACGAAAGAGACGGAUGCCAACAGUAUCCGUCCGUGACGGUACCGUAAGAGAAAGCCACGGCUAACUACGUGCCAGCAGCCGCGGUAAAU
rnacentral:rRNA from 1 species